rnacentral:SRP_RNA from 1 species
GCCAGGUGUGGUGGUGGGUGCCUAUAAUCCCAGCUACUCAAGAGCCUGAGGCAGGAGAAUCGCUUGAACCUGGGAAGCAGAGGUUGCAGUGAACCGAGAUUGCACCACUGCACUCCAACCUCAGUGAUGGAGCAGGACCCUGACUCAAAACAAAACAAAACAAAANNNNNNNNNNUUUUGUUUUGUUUUGUUUUGAGUCAGGGUCCUGCUCCAUCACUGAGGUUGGAGUGCAGUGGUGCAAUCUCGGUUCACUGCAACCUCUGCUUCCCAGGUUCAAGCGAUUCUCCUGCCUCAG